rnacentral:lncRNA from 1 species
UCUGCUAAAUUUUUCGAUGUCUGGUUUAAUGGUCAUACUGUUUUGCACUAUCGGCCCUACAUAUCUCUGGAUAUCCAAAUACUAUCUUUAGGCAUCUUACCAUAACAUACUCUGAUCUAAUGUACAGAUAAUUUAAAAGACGUUCUCAUUAAAAUAGUUAUGGGAUGCCCUUUAGGCUGGUAAUUUAUAACCACUUAUUGGCAGAAACUGUAAUAACUUGCGGUUAUUUUGCAAUCUGAAAGUAUCUCAGGAUUGAAAUAUAUGUUAGGUUCAACUGCAUUGAAAUAUUAAUGACAAAACUUUAAACGGAUGCUUUCUUUUUGAAUUUUAAAUUGUUAUCCAUAUCAAUUUUAAAUUUUUCGACCCACUAACAUUUUUAUACAGAUUCUAAUUUAAUCAUCAUUUUGCUACAACUCAAGCCCAAAGCAGAAUAUUGUUUGGUCUAUGCUUGUAUUAUGAUUGCUUGAAACUGAAAAUAUAUUAAGCCUGGACACUGGUUCUUCAUACUCUUGGAUUGUACUGUCCAGUCAUUUAAUGUGCAUUCUUUUGAUCUCAUGUUUAGAUUUACUUAGAAAUUUAGGAAAGAAGGGAAAUUUUUGGUUGAAAGCAGUUAAAACUUCUUAUUAAUAUAAAUUUCAUCUUCCUGAAACUCCAUACUGUGGAAGUCCUAAAUCUCAAAACUUCGGCCUGUAUAGAAAGUAUUACUUCAUUUAUUUCAUUCUUUCAUAUGUUGUAGUGUUUUGCCUUUGGGAGGUCAGGUUUAUGUUUCCUUUCCUCUUGUUCUCGUGAUUUUGAUUUUAUACAUGGUCAUUAGCCUUCCUUGGUGGAGCCUGAAAAUCCACUAGAGGCUGUGUUAAUAUUUUGCUUAAAAAAAUUUCAAAACAUGGGCAUAUUGUAGAAGUUAAACUGAGACGUGCAUGCCAUUGAAAGUCAUUGAUGGACCAUUUGUUUACAAACAUUCUCAAGGGGUGAUUGCAAACAAUAAGAAGAUGUAUUCUGAUACCUUAUGCAUCAUGUCGGA